UGAGUAACCUGCCCUGGACUUUGGGAUAACCCUCGGAAACGGGGGCUAAUACCGGAUACGACAACUCAUCGCGUGGUGUGGUUGUGGAAAGUUUUUCGGUCUGGGAUGGGCUCGCGGCCUAUCAGCUUGUUGGUGGGGUGAUGGCCUACCAAGGGUACGAUGGGUAGCUGGUCUGAGAGGAUGAUCAGCCACACUGGAACUGAGACACGGUCCAGACUCCUACGGGAGGCAG
rnacentral:rRNA from 1 species